GCACCAAUAGCUCAAUUGGAUAGAGCACCUGACUACGGAUCAGGAGGUUGUGGGUUCGACUCCUACUUGGUGCACCA
rnacentral:tRNA from 1 species